GCCUGGCUGGCUCAGUCAGUUGGGCGUCUGACUUCAGCUCAGGUCACGAUCUCACGGUACAUGAGUUCGAGCCCCGCGUCGGGCU
rnacentral:tRNA from 1 species